AUGCUCACACAUGCUCACACACCGCCUUGCCCUGAUGGCCACAUGCUGCGGGAUGGAUGGUGGGACAGGAGGAGGCUUUGGUCGCUGGCUUUCUUGGUCCUGGUCAGCCCUGCACAGUGCUGGCCCUUUAGAUGGAUUCUUGCUGGCGGGGAUGGGGGCUGGAGGACCUGCCCAUUGCCAGGCCUGCUCCUAGGCUGUGGUCAGUCCCUUCCCGUCUCUGUACUUGUUUCCUCCCCUGUAACGUGGCUACAGCCGCCUACCUUCCCGGGUGAGGGAGACAGACAGCGCUCACUCUGCCACCUGCCCAAGUGCCCAGCUUCCCACUGGUGUGCAGACCAGCUCUGGAUGACCGAGUGGGGGAGUGGCGACUAUCCCGGGGUUGGACAGGCCACACCUGUGCCACCUCCCGGCCUCCCCUCAUCCUGCUUUCCUUUUUCUGAGGUCAGAACACUCAGCUCCUCCCUACUGCAUCUCAUCCUAGGCUCCCCCGGUCCCGCUAGACACCCUCCCCACCCAGCCAGACCACGAGCUCCUGCUGUGGUAGAGGUAUGUGGCCAGGUCCCAAAGGGGCUUCUGCAGGUGACUGCCCGGCUCUGUGGCUGUCGUGGGGAGGACACUGUCCUCUCCAACUCUGAGCAGAGUUUAUGUAUGUCUAACGAACAAUCAGCCUGCCCUGGGGGGGCCGCUGAGUCCCCAGCACCUGUCUCUCUGAUGUGGUUGUGUACAUGUGAGACCCCUAUCAGCAAGAGCCAAGCUGGGACUACCCAGGGCAGGGGCCCCCAUGCCCACAGCCCGCAGGAGUUGGGGAAGGUGUGUGUGCUCUUGCCCUGUGUCAGGUUUGGAGGUCUGGCCCGGGCCUCCAAGCUGGGUGCGCUUCGGGAAGUGACUUCACCUCUCUGGGGUAGGAGCUGUGGAUAUGCCAUUCCGAUCGUGCAUUCUGGAGCUGUGGAACUAGCCAUGGGACAGGAUCAGGGCCCCUUGGGCCCACUCUGGGGCAGGCCGGAGCCACUGACCACCUGA
rnacentral:lncRNA from 12 species